rnacentral:lncRNA from 1 species
GGUAGAUGAAGCUGGAUAUCAUUGAGCUGGACCUAAACAUCGCUUCAACUGCACUUGUGAUUAUCGUCAGCAUAACAGCGAUUCUUGUGCUUGGCACACUCAUUUGUUUCCUUCCAGGCACAAGCAUAUGGUGAUCAAUCCACACAUUCCAUAAUCCCAGCAAUAAAAGAUUUUCAAACAGUUAUCAAAAUGGACCAGAGGUUGUUACUGAGAGUCAUCAUCGCAGAAGAUGAUAUAACAUUGUCAUCACCCACCACAACAUUAGACACUGAGGGCAGCACAGCAGACACUGAGAUCCUGUCGCCUGUAGGAGCAUCACCAUCGCUAAGACAACAGUGGCCAGAGUUCUUUGACAUACCCAAUUAGCACAUAUCAUAGAGAGACAGGUGUUUGCUGAGUUUAAUAGAAUCGCCAGUAAGAAUCUUGAGGGAGACUUCUUUGAGGCUCUGGACCAGUAUGCCCCACGUUUCAUUGAACUUUUCAAAACAAAAUAGGGAACUGUUGGCCAGAAACUCAGGGAGCUGAUGCAGCACAUGAGCUGGAUGACACCAGACGACACAGUACUUCGCUCUGUUGUCCUCAAAGGCAUUCCCAUUUUACUCGAUGAUGACUCCAGUGAAUUCUACAAGACUUGCUCUGAUACAGAGAGAGACGAGGCCCUAGAAUGCAUCACUGUAGUCCUCACGAGGGUCAAAGCUCAGUGGACCUCCAGCCCAUCUCCACUGCCAUCAUUCUGGAGGGAGGUAUUCUCAUGGAUCAUGUUAAAAACUUGCCUCAGGCAGUUUGUCCUUUGUUUGGUCUUACAUAUGCAUUGCAUUUGGAUACCCAAAAUGCAUGGCAAAUACACUCAACUUCAUUCAGACUGUGAUGCUUGGACUGGUAAAGAAAAACCUCCCACCAAAACUGUUAACUCCUGAAGAACAGUCUUCUGGGUUAGAACAGUAAAGAGCCAUCGGCUGUCAGAUAGCACUUUGUAAGCUUUGCAGCCAUUAAUGUUCUCCUCUUAUCAGAGAAAGUUUGAUGCUUUCAUGGAACUGUUCUCGCUUAUUUACGUUCUCAAUGG